rnacentral:rRNA from 1 species
GACAGAAGGUGCAAACGUUGUUCGGAAUUACUGGGCGUAAAGCGCGUGUAGGCGGCUACAUAAGUCGGGCGUGAAAUCCCACGGCUCAACCGUGGAAGUGCACUCGAAACUGCAUAGCUAGAGUCCUGGAGAGGAAGGUGGAAUGCUUGGUGUAGAGGUGAAAUUCGUAGAUAUCAAGCGGAACACCGGUGGCGAAGGCGGCCUUCUGGACAGUGACUGACGCUGAGACGCGAAAGCGUGGGGAGCAAACAGG